AGUAAAAUGCCUGAAUAAAGGGUUAUCUUGAUAGGAUAAAUCAUGUAAAAUAUACUUUUACUA
rnacentral:tRNA from 1 species